rnacentral:rRNA from 1 species
GAUGAACGCUGGCGGCGUGCCUAAUACAUGCAAGUCGAGCGAACAGAUAAGGAGCUUGCUCCUUUGACGUUAGCGGCGGACGGGUGAGUAACACGUGGGUAACCUACCUAUAAGACUGGGAUAACUUCGGGAAACCGGAGCUAAUACCGGAUAACAUUUGGAACCGCAUGGUUCUAAAGUGAAAGAUGGUUUUGCUAUCACUUAUAGAUGGACCCGCGCCGUAUUAGCUAGUUGGUAAGGUAACGGCUUACCAAGGCGACGAUACGUAGCCGACCCGAGAGGGUGAUCGGCCACACUGGAACUGAGACACGGUCCAGACUCCUACGGGAGGCAGCAGUAGGGAAUCUUCCGCAAUGGGCGAAAGCCUGACGGAGCAACGCCGCGUGAGUGAUGAAGGGUUUCGGCUCGUAAAACUCUGUUAUUAGGGAAGAACAAACGUGUAAGUAACUGUGCACGUCUUGACGGUACCUAAUCAGAAAGCCACGGCUAACUACGUG